UGCCACCAAAAAAACAAAUCAACAACAAACAAACUCAUUAAUACUACCCUUUAUUUUUGUUUUGUUUUGUUGAAACAAGGUCUCCCUGUGUAGUUCACACUGGCCCUACAAUCCCUGUGAAUUCGAGGCUGGUACUGAGCUCUCAGCAACCUUCCUGCCUUAGCUUCCCCAGUGCCGGGAUUACAGGUGAUCUCCACACCCAGCUAUGUUAAUAUUGCUUGCAAUGUUCAGAGAGAAAAUGUGAUUCUUAUAGUGAAACAGAAAUUGAAGGUACAGGGAAAACAACAGAGUACUCAUUUAGACUAUUUAGUAAGCCAAUGGAAAUUAAGCUCAAGGCCCGUCACAGCUUACUUACUUAUCUAUUUUAUUUAUGAUACAAGGUCUUCCUAUGAAGCUCAGUAUAGCCUUAACCUGGAUUUAUGAUUCACAUACAUCUCAGAUUCAUGAUUUUCCUGCCUGAGCCUCCCAAGUACUGGAAUUACAGGCAUGCACUUCCAUGCCUUGCCAACAUUUGUAAGACACCUUGAGGGAGAAAGUGUUAAUUCUUAAGAACUUACUAGUUAAAAGACACACUGGAAAGUGUUCAGCUUUAAAAAGUUUAUAUAAAUGUAUUUUUCUCUGAUUUUCAUACAGGCAAGAAAGAGAAAAAAGGAAAACUACCUACACAGGGGGCUAACAACAGGAAACUUGUAAAAACCCCACUGGUACAGUUUAUACAGCACAACCAUGUACAUCAGGAAUGAGAAGGAAUGAAGUCUCCACCUAACACUGAGAUUGUCAGCAAUGCACGAGGCUCAGGACUCCAUCAGCUUCACCCACAUGACACAUUGAAGCAUCAAAAUCACAUUACUAUGAUGCCCAAGUUACAGAUAUGGAAACUGAGGCACAGCACAGCUGCAUGACUUGCUCAAGGUCAUGUCCCUGCUACCACAAGAGCUGGAUGUGGACGUGGGCUCUCUCAGGACCCUAUCAGUGCCUUUUACUAGGUGGGCAGGACUGUCAGGGACUCAAGGUCUCCUCUCAGCCAACUGCACUCUUCAGUCAGCAGUUACAUAAGGGCCAUCCUGACUGCACUGGAAAGGUCAAUGCCUUGCCAUCUCUCACUGAGAAGGCAGCAGGGCUGCCCUAGCGGUCUCCACAAGGCUUCUGCCUUCUUCCCUGUCCCUCUUCAGGUGGCACAAGAUUCAGCUUCCAUCUUCUUUGUGAAAAUCAAGUACUCUUGGAGCUCACUGAAGACAAUCGUAAUGUAUGGCAACAGAAAAAGACAUCAGAAUGAGGAUGAAAAUAACAGAACCACGAUGCAGCCUGAAUGAAUCAACUAUGGAAGACUUGACACAGUGCUUGAUCAUUAUUCAUUGCUGAUAAUGCAGAUUCUGACAGCUCAGACUCAGUUUGAGGGAGAGCCUCCUCCUCUCCCUGGCUGCCACCACAGCCUUCUGAAGAAGUGUGCAAAGGGACCUCAUGCUCCAAGCAUGGACAAGUCACGCUCAGUCUCAAGACAUAUGCUAACUCUUCUGAGCCCCCGAAUACCGUGCCCCUGGGAAAAGCUGAAGAACUACAAGUCCCCUGGUACUGCACUGUGCCCACCAAAGACCCAAGAGGGCAGAGGGAUGCUGGGAAUUUAACCAAGUCAUCUGACUCAGACACUGUAAAACAUGGGGCAGAGCUUUCUGUGUAGUGAAGAGUUAGGCAGCUGAAAUUCAAUCUCUGUGAAGUGAUAAGCCUUAAUUUCUGAGAACCCCAUUACUAAGAUCUUUAACUCAACACAGUAGGGCAGUACUUAGUCAAAUAACAAUAUAAAGACAUAGAGGGAAAGGCCCCGUGCCAACUUUCAGGUUUAGAAGUGUAUUUCAUGAUUUUUUUCAGCAGUACAUUUUAGAACAAAACUAACCCAGCAACGAACUACAUGUACAUAAACUCAGGAGUUGCCUAAACCAGGGGACUUUGUAUAAAAGAUUCUAUUCAUAAAUAAAACAACCUUCGUUCAAAGUAA